AUACCUUUCUCGGCCUUUUGGCUAAGAUCAAGUGUAGUAUCUGUUCUUAUCAGUUUAAUAUCUGAUACGUGGGACAUCGUCCCACAUGAUAUUAAAUUAAUUUUUUUAGGGGAAGGGCCCAUCACAAUAGCUUGCUAUUGGGGUCCUUGAGCGUCGCCCUUGCGUUGCACUACUGCUUGGGCCCGGCGCACCCCUC
rnacentral:snRNA from 1 species